rnacentral:rRNA from 1 species
CCUACGGGGAGCAGCAGUGGGGAAUAUUGGACAAUGGGGGGAACCCUGAUCCAGCCAUGCCGCGUGUGUGAAGAAGGCCCUCGGGUUGUAAAGCACUUUCAGUGAGGAAGAACGCCUGGUGGUUAAUACCCAUCAGGAAAGACAUCACUCACAGAAGAAGCACCGGCUAACUCCGUGCCAGCAGCCGCGGUAAUACGGAGGGUGCGAGCGUUAAUCGGAAUUACUGGGCGUAAAGCGCGCGUAGGUGGCUUGAUAAGCCGGUUGUGAAAGCCCCGGGCUCAACCUGGGAACGGCAUCCGGAACUGUCAAGCUAGAGUGCAGGAGAGGAAGGUAGAAUUCCCGGUGUAGCGGUGAAAUGCGUAGAGAUCGGGAGGAAUACCAGUGGCGAAGGCGGCCUUCUGGACUGACACUGACACUGAGGUGCGAAAGCGUGGGUAGCAAACAGGAUUAGAUACCCGAGUAGUC